UAGAAAUUGUACAAUUCUAGAUAAUAAUUCAUCAGUGAUUUAUUGUAAAUGACUACCUGCAUAGUAAAAAGAAUAUAUGGCAUUUCUGUUAUUCUCACUGUAAUUGCAACUAGACGUGGGCACGAACAGCAUUAUGAACAGAAAAAAACCACGAACAGCCCAAUCUGCUGUUCGCGAACAAGCUGUUCAUGAUGCCCCAUCCUAAACAAACAGGUGGUCGUUGCAAGCCUCAUUGGUUGCUUUCGGCAGCCGUUCAUCAAUCCAGACAGUCUGACACCUGCAAUCAAUCCCCUUGGCAACUGGAGGCAGGGACUGAACUCCUUCUGGCUUUCCUUCUGGCUUUAACCCUUCAAAGUACUUCCAGCAGAGAGUCCCGUUUUUGCCACUGUGAAGAGAAAAUGACAGCCAACGGAAGACCUGUGGAUCAUGCCUUUCCCGGGGUGCAAUCUCUCUGAAACUUGGAGGGUCUUCAGAGGACAGUGAGGACUCUGUCCCCUGCAAAUUUGGUAGUACAAACCAGAAGGUUAAAAUGAUACAAGGACAGGAUAUUAAUGAAAUGAAGUUACAUAGCAACCACAGCCUCAUUUGUGAGUUGGGUGAAGAAAGCAACAGGGGUCCCUGACCACAAAUACGGAAAUUGCAGCACAGCAGCUGAACAUGAACUGAAAUGGUCUACUCGGGCUACUACUAAGGUCUAUUCAAUGGGGCUUACUCCCAGGAAAGUGUCCUUAGAAUUGUAUUAUAGACGUGUGGACCAUAAGGAUGGCAAGAGUCCAAGCCCUCCUAGCCCUCUGGGUGGUGGCUGGAGAUCUCCCAGAAUUACAACUGUCUUCCAGAUGGCAGAGAUCAGUUCCCCUGGAGAAAAUGGCAGCUUUGGAGAGUGGACUCUAUGGCAUUCUACCCUGCUGAGACCCCUCCUCUCCCCAAAUCUCACAUUCUCUAGGCUUCAUCCCCCAAAUCUCCAGGAAUUUCCCAACCUGGACCUGGCAACCCUAGUGGCAAGGAGUGUGAAAGACUGUAUCUCGCCGUCACCAUAAUUAUCAAACCUGUAACAGCCACACAAAUACUUCUCUCUGCAUGUAUACACAGUUUAAUGAAGUGUCCCUGCCCCCACUGUACCCAGCAUGAUAUCUCUGGAGGUCUUACCUUCUCAUAUUGCCUGAGCAAGGGAUGAAGUAGACCCUUAUACUGGCAAGAAGAGGCUAAUUUUAUUCUGAUAACAUUAAGAAACAGAUAAUUGGAUCAAGCUUGUAAGCAAAUGGUGAAAGGAAGAGAACUUUUUUUUAUAUGGUAGUAAGAUCUUUUUCAAUGUUGCUUUACUUUACUCUUCAAGCAUGUGUAUUGAAAUGGAACAAAUAAGCAAACUGAACCUAAUAUUAAUCUUCCUCACAACUCAAUGAUACUCUAGAAAUGCUCUGAUUUUUAAUGCAGCCUUUUGGCUACAGGAGGGCUCGGGAAAGAGAUGAGCUGUGCAACAUGACCUGAAGGUCAAUAAAUGCAAGCUCUAGUGGAUUAACUGAGAAAGCAUAUUCUAAGACUGAAGAUCCUUCAGUAAAAAUGCACUGUUUGUCAUUAUUCUGAUUCAAACUAGAAGGCUAUAACUUCCACCACCACUUUGGUUCAUCUUUCAUAGAAAGAUCAUAUCUCUCAUGAAACAAAAAGAAUCUAUAUUUAAUAAUA